GACGAACGCUGGCGGCGUGCUUAACACAUGCAAGUCGAACGAAGUGGCGAACGGGCGAGUAACGCGUAAUCAACCUGCUCAUCAGAGCGGCAAAACAGUUGGAAACGACUGAUAAUACCGCAUACGGAAGGAGGGGAUUGCGUCUGAUUAGCUAGUUGGGGGGGUAACGGCCCACCAAGGCGGUGUUCAGUAGCCGGUCUUGGAGGAUGAACGGCCUCAUGGGGCCUGAGGCACGGCCCAUACUCCUACGGGAGGGAGCAGUGGGGAAUCUUCCGCAAUGGACGAAAGUCUGGCGGAGCAACGCCGCGUGAGUGAUGACGGGCUUCGGGUUGUAAAGGUUGGUUAAUCGGGACGCGGUACCGGAAUAGAAAGCCACGGCUAACUACGUGCCAGCAGCCGCGGUAAUUC
rnacentral:rRNA from 1 species